UUUUUCUUUAUGCAAAAAAAAAAAAAUGCAGUGCAAAGGAAAGGCCAACCAGUGUUAAAUUACAAAGCUGAACCUUGCAGUGAACAGAAUCACUUGGUGGUGGAAAUCUUUAUCAAAUUCAAUCUCUUGAAAAUCAUGCUUGACGUUUUAACUUUUUUUUUUUUUUUUUUUUUUAAGUUGACGCAAAUGAGUAUGAUGUCCUCCUAACCCCUCCCCUGUGAUCUUGUGGGAGACUCCAUUCCACUAAGUUUUGACUGUUGUUAAUACUUAUUUACAUUGGCUGUGAUUUGUUUUGUUUUUUUACUGCUGAUGGGGUUUGUGACUAGUUUGUUUUUCAUAAUUUACCUGGGUUUCUAUUUUGGCUUUGGCUAAAAGGUCAUUGGUUCUUAUUAUAAAGGACUCUGGUGUUGAUGCUGAUGUCCAGUUUUGGUGAACUGUCUUCCCUGUUUUGCUUAAAUAAUAGCUGAGUCGGGCCACAGAGCUUUGUUUAAAAAUGAAAAUGACCCCAACAUGUGCUUUGUCAUUUUAUUGAGAAAUGCCGUUGUAACAGUGUUGAGCCUUGAAACUUAUGCCCCUCCAUUCACAAUCUAAAAUGAUUUUCUAAUGUUAAUGAAUUUUCGACGUGCACUUGAUUUUUCUGCAGUAUGAACUAAUAACGGGCGUUUUUGCAGAUGCGUAAAAUAUUUUUUUUUCCGGAUGUGUCAGAAGUGAAGUAAGUUGUUGAAUUAGAAUAACUGUCGUAACGUUUUCAGACCCGGGGGCAAAUUUUAUAUGUGCGCUGUUUCCAUGGUUACGCUGUGACACGGUAGCGUUUUUAUCACCUGCAGUGUAGCGGUGCUCUCCGACCAUGGAGGAUUCACGCCGGUUUAUCAGUAAAGAAAAAUAAUCAUACCGUAUUAAUGUGAUGAUGUGGUUAUGUCUGUAAUUCAGCAGUGGAUCAUCACAAUGAUGACCCUCCACGUUAACUCCUCUGUACCGACCGCUAAGACUCUGACUUCCGCAGCUGCUGCGUUGAACAGCAGCAGCCAUCAUCGCGGCCCAGAUGCUGCAGGAUUCUCCUCACACAGCAACUACAGACUGGGAGCAGGAGGAGGACGAGUCACGGUGUCUCAAAGUCAUCACUUCAGGAGGAAAUAUCCUGUAAUCGAGCCGCUCAGGAAGACCAGGGAUGCCAAGUCAUUGAUGACAAUUAAACAGCCACCAAACCUGUCCAAAGAUGACAAGGUUGAAUUAGAAAAUAAGGAGCCAGAGGACAUGUGUGGGAAACACUUUCUCUUUGAUAACAAAUGUGAAGGGUUGGAGAGAACCAGAACGGUAGUUCCUCCACUGCCGAGAGACUACCAUGUUCACAGACCUGGGAUCAACCGCCAUCUUUUUGGCCUCCCUAAGGAUCUUUCUCACAGAAACCCAGGGCAGCCCUUCACUCUGGGCUUUCCUCAGGGAUAUGAACUGAACCCAGGUCCGACCAUCCUCGUUCCCUCUACUUUAUUCCUCAACGGUAGAAAUACCUUGAUGGUAGGAAACUGCAAGCUCAGCAGGCCUAAGGUGAAUUAUCCAUCAUACACACAGAUGACUGUUAAAGACAAUCACAAAAGUGAGUCACACCACUCCUUUCAUUCUUAUUUUUAUAUUUAAAGAAAGUAGUUUGCUAGGCUAACUUUUUGCCACCUUUUAUAACUGCAACAUUUUAACGCCUGGGUAUCAUUUGAACAAGGUUUAGGUUUUUUUAUUUUUUGCAGCUAUUAGCGACACUUGCAACUGUAACCCUUAGUUUAUAUAUAGUGAUUUUCAUUUUUUUACUUUGUUCAAUGAAAUUUUUAGCUUUUUGGGGUUAUGUAUUUGCUUUUUAUGAAGUAACGUUUUGCAAUCAACCUGCAAAUUACAGCUGCAUUUUUAGGCUUUUUGCUAUGUGUAUUUUUUGAUAUUUCAAAGUACUAUCAUUUCUUCUGUUAUGUCCUAUGGCUAUUUUAAAUCUAUUUUUACAGGUUUUUGGCCAUUUUUGUGUUCUCAAUGUUUCACCAAUUAAACUGGUAUUACAGUUCCUAUAUACCCAUGUAUAUGUACAUGGGUAUGUACAAUAUGUGUUUAUGUAUGUAUAUGUAUACUAUAUAUAUACAUAUAUAUGCAGUUAAAUAUUAAGAAAUUAAUUCUACAAUGGAUCUGAAAGAAAUACUGCUGUACAAUGAAACAAAAGCACCGUGGAGCGUUUUAAGGCAGCGAAUAAUGCGCUGCUUAUGGUCAGUCGUAUCCAGACCCGGUGGUCGGAGCGCCUCGCUCCUUCGUCCACAGGAUAUCUGAGCUGUCCUCUUUGGAGGCAGAGACGGUGAGAGAGGAGCGUCUUAAGAGACGGAGACAAUCUAGAAAAGCUCCAUCCUGA